ACAACGGCUCUUUUAAGAGCCAAACACUUCAUCUGAAGGGAAUCG
rnacentral:ncRNA from 14 species